AUUUUUUCAAUUUAAUUUUAUUUAAAUCUAAGUGUGAUGUACAGAGGAAUUACAGUUACAUAAGUAAGAUAAUGAGUACAUUUCUUGUCAAACAGUGUUACCAUCUCCUUAGUUUUCUUCUACUUCCC